rnacentral:lncRNA from 1 species
UCCUUUGCGGGUAAACAGACAUGGCCGGCGAGGGAGAUCAGCAGGACGCUGCGCACAACAUGGGAAACCACCUGCCGCUUCUGCCUGGUAACCUCCGGGACGGGCGCCUGGCCGUGGGUGGAGACCGAGGACCGGGGCCGAUCCCGCAGGGAGGACGGGGACAGCUACUCGGGCGCAGCGGCCGGUGGGAAGCCUCCCGUGUGAGCCUCGCCCUCCGCAGCUCUGCGCUUUCCUCCCGGCCUGUCUCCUGGGCUGUCGGGGAUGUUGGGGCCACGGACUUUGGUUUCCCAGAGCAGGGACCCCCAUUCCUUUCCAUCUUUCUCCCAAGCCGGCCUCCCUGAAAAUUUUGUGGGAGUAGGCGAAGUUGAGAACCGGGUGACAUUAGCAGCCGUUACUUUUCCUGCUCAUCUGCUUUCUCAUAAGACUGACAGCUAACAUGCAGUAGGCAUUUGCACGUCGUGGGCCCCGCAGUGAAUGCUUUGCGUGCAUUUCUGCUUUUAUUAUUACACCUGUCAUCUGUCCAGAGCCUUGCUUAUGGAGGAGAAACUUAUCGACGGGUUGUUAAAUGUAUACCAUCCAGUGACGUGGAAGGUCACACAGUUGCAGAUAGGGCUGCGCGGUGUACUGAUCUGCCACCACAGCUGGUAUCUCUUAGCUAUCUCUCUGUGGAGGUAGUUAUUUAGCGGUUUUUCUCAGGUCUGCAAAUAAUAUGCCUACUUUUAGGGUACUCAGGAGAACGGUAUUACCGAUUUCUCCUGCUUACUUUAUGCCUUUAUGGUUUAUGACAACUUAUGUUGCAGUAUUGAAUGCUGAAAGUGGAUGAACUAGUGGUACGGACUGUUCUUAGAAUGCUGUAGAAACACAGACUAUUGCCAGAGCCUUUUGGUUGUAGUUAAAAGCCAUGCAGUCUGUUAACCUUGUUUGUAGGAAAAACAUCAGUCGGCUACUUUUAGGAGGGUCACAGUUAGGAUAAGGCUAUUGAGAAUAAUUACAAUCACAGGUGCAGUUCAUUUAGAGCCAUAUAAGCAACUGCUGCUGGGUGUACUGGGUUUGUGUUUUUUGCUGGAUUGGAUACCAGGCACUCCCAAAUCCUCUGAGCUAUGUCUCCAACUCCUGCUGUGAUUUUCAUGGGUAGGGAUUAUUGUGGGAUUUGAAAAUCUUGUGAUGGAGAUUCACUUAGGGUUCAUUUGUGGACUAGGUUAGUCCUACAUUGUUGAAACCGUGCAUCCUUAGUCAUUUCAGUUAGGAACUUUUUUGUGUGGGGUGUGAAGAAAUAAUUUCAGGUUUCAGUUUGUUGCCUCAGAAGGUGUGCUUCAGGUGUGAAUGUGUUCCUUGGUGGUAGUGUAGACAGAAGAAGAAAUGCUGGGUGCAGGGCCAGUGCAUAGAAAGCACCUUUUCUGUAAGCCACUGGUUAUUGAGCUGUACUCGCGGCAGUUCCUAAAGGUGAUCAUCUUUCAACAGAAGAGAUUUCAGGGACAGCAGCUCCACUGUGAAUGGAGCAGACGUUUAGGGAAAGUGGUGGAGUAGGAGAAGGGUGCUCCCCCGCUAUUGGCAUUCAUCAGGUGCUUCUGUGUGAGCCACCGGGAGCUCUGAAAACUCUGUAGUUUCUCAAUUUGAAAUAUUAGAAGGAAGAGGCUCACAGAUGUUGUAGAUAUAGAAUAGUGGGUUUCCAAAUUAUAAUAGUUUUAUUUCUGGAGACACUUUGGCUUGUCCCCUGAAUUCAUGUAGUGUAACUUGCUUUGAAAAGUGAUCAUCCUUAACAGCUAAGGGAAUUGCUUAACAUUUUAGGUGUGAAGAAUCCAUAUUGGACAAAUUAAGUGCUCAAAUAAAAACAUAACCAAGUUGGAGAAGUUAAUUAUAGCCUGUUCAUAAGCAAAUUCUUUUAAAGAAUAAACAUAGGAAAUUUCAGGUGUAUUAGCCCUGGAGCUAAUAGCAGGUACUUUAAACUUGCUGUAGUAAAGAAGAGAAUGGGUCUCUCCAAAUGUCAAGUAAAAUCUACAUUCUCGGAGUUGUAGAUGAAAAAAUUAAAUUCAGAAUGUUUUUCUUAUUUUAGCUUCGUCUUUAUCGCUUGAUAAACUUCCCUAUUGUCAAUAAAAUCAUGUUUAGAAAUGUUAAAUAGAAACUAUCUGCAUACCACUUGAAUUAUGUUCUUCUCUUUGACAGAGCCUUUUAUCUAGGAAUUUAUAAUAAAAAUAAAGUAAAAUCUUCAUGUUUUUUCAUAAGAACAUCCUUUUAGGUAGUUUGGUGUAAAUAAUAAUUUUCAAAAAUGGAAAAGCUGACCAAUUUGUAAUGAAACCUUAUGCAUUUUAAAACUUUUUGGAUGUAUUUAAAAACAUUUGAAGAGAAAUGAGACUUAGUUUAGGCCAUUGUUUCCCAACCUUGAGACUGUCACCCUUUCAGCCUGGAAAACCCCUGGCUAUGUUGCAGCACAGUGUGUGUAAGAGCCUAGACAACUCCUAGUCUGCAUUACCGGGGUUUUUAUAGUUGUGACAGUCAAAGAUAUCUUCAGACAGUUCUAAACAUUACAAGGAACAAAGUCAUCGAGUUGGAAAUGUUCCCAUAGUUAGCAGGAAAAGAACAGCUCACACUUGAUAGAAUACCACUUCUAGAAAGUAGCGUUGUGUUUUGUUUCUUCAGACUUUCAUCUCUGCCCUUGGCAGCAUCAUGUUAUCAGGUGGAUCAGCUUAGCUUUCAUUUCAUUUCAAAAAAAAAAGUGCAGGUAGAGUUCUUAAGAUAUCUCCUUUUGCCAGGCAGUGGUGGCGCACUCCUUUAAUCCCAGCACUUGGGAGGCAGAGGCAGGCAGAUUUCUGAGUUCGAGGCCAGCCUGGUCUACAGAGUGAGUUCCAGGACAGCCAGGGCUACAUAGAGAAACCCUGUCUCCAAAAACUCGAAAAACAG